UGUGACUCCACCCACAAUAUGACGUCACCAAACCAAACCCCAACAGUAAUGUUCAAUAACAAGUAGAAAAACGAUUCCAACAACCCCUGGCUGCAGUCUGCAGACUGAGGCCUGCCUCAACGUAGGCGGGGUUAAACGCGUUGCGCUCCGCCCACUGUAAGGGAUUCUUCUUCAUCACCUUAAUUAAUUAAUGAUGUGUCUCUCCCUGCCCCUCCAUGGCGGAGCGGCCACUCCCAUCACAGUAUUUUUUUUGGAUUUUAAAAUUUCCCACUUGCAUUCCCACGGAUUCGAUAAUUUAUCCUGAGAUGAUUAAAUUAAGAUAAGAUAAAUUAAGAUUCAUUAUUUUGAUUUUAGAAUAUGUACACUCCUGCUUUCAGAGUUAAAAAAGAAACAGCCCUCUUUUAUUUAUGGCUACAGGAACAAUAGAGCCAGACUGAGCAAAACUGUGAUGUGUCGGUCUCCAACAAAGCAGCUCUUAUCUCGUAUAAAUAUAUCUCAUAUUUUGCAUUAAACAAGUCGAUGCAAUUCUCUUCUUUUUCCCGCCUCUGUGUUCCCUGCUUCUCCUGAGUGGAUGAAAACACCACCUUCUUCUUCCUCAGCGUGUUCACAGACGCAGCAAAUCAAUGAUCAGGAUGUCUUUCGUGUUAUAAAUAAACCCCGGAGACGAUCGCGUUGUUUCAAAAGUAGAAACGUUGCUCAGAAGUUCAUUGCAGUUAUCGCGUACAGACAUUAAACGCCCGAUUGUGGAUACAUCCUGGCGCCAUGAUGACCGAUCGCUUGGCUCUUUAAAGCAAACGACAACACCGUCUUCUUCCUGCAAGGAAGCUGUUUUCUUUUGGUUUUUUUUACAUCUAUCACUCUUUCUUGCGUCCUUUUCUCUUCAAGCUGCUUGUAAUUGGUCAAUAGGUGUUUGUGCUGAGCUGGGGAGGGGUAGCAAAAGCUUGUUACACGUGCAGCAGCGUGUAACUGGAAUAGAGCGGCAGGUGCAAAUAAAAGACUAUAAGAGACAACAUCAACACAAAAACGUACAGAAAUGAGUGACACCGGAAAAAGAAGCAAAAUCCAGAGCUAAAGUAUAGUGUGUAUAGUGUAUAGUGAAGUAUAGUGAAGUAUACUUCACUUUAAAUGAUAAUGCAAAAAGAGAAUUUAGAGUCUGGAAGAAAAUAAUUCUAUCUAGAAGCGGCUCCACAACCAACCAACACCUGAGAACUGAGAGGAUCUCCUUAACCCUUGUGCUAUCCUAGGCACUUUAACGUUGAGUUGGGUCAUCCAGACCCCACUACAAAGUGCGCCGAACCUUUUUUCUUCAAUGAUUUGUGAUCUUCACUGGCGUGGAUUACAUGAAAUCCUCUCCACCUUUAUCCACCUUUGUCAUGUAAGGGUGGGGUCAUAGGAUGGCACAAGGGUUAUGAGAGCAGAUGACAUCACAUACAGUGGGCGGAGAGCAACACGUUUAACUCCUCUCACAUUGAGGCACGACUCGGGGCUUAUCACCUAUUUUGGUAUCUGCAAUGUUUGUAACUUAAAACAGGACAACACUGAUGUCCCCAUGUAUGGUUUAUCCUGACCCAAUGUUAUAUUUUAGGGUUAUUAAUAGGACUGGGUAUCAUCAAUAAUUUCCAGAAUCGAUUAAAUUCACCAGAGCCUGGAUCGAUUCGAUUCCUUUUUUCGAUUUCAAAUGUUUACACAUUUGGACAUACUUGUAUAGAAAGAUAUUAAUCUGUAAAUGUCUUGAAGAAAUUCAUAAUAAUUUGAUACAGCAUAAAUGCUGUCAAAUGUAUCACUGAAAUAAUAAAUGAAUGAGGUUGUUAACACCAUACAGUUUUACAUGAUUUCUCAAAUGGAGAAGCUCCUACAAAAGUGUGCAGAUCAUUAUGUUCUGCCUCUCCUGGAGGACGUCAUAGUUUGGCCACUAGGGGGCGCUCCCGUUAUACCAUUGCACUUUAUUCCAGAAGAUUUGAACAAAAACGGUGCUUUACACCAAAAAUGUUUACCUAAAAAAGUUUCCUUAAAACAGUUUGGUAAAUUCAUGCCUGGGAGUAUGUUCAGCAGUGAAUGUUUAGAUCGAACAAGCAUUAGCAUUUGCCCUCCUAUGGGAAAUUCCAUUAUACGUUAGCAUCAAGCUAGUGGACCUUGGCCUUACUGCCAAAUAAACCUGCUAUUUGGGCUUCUUAUUGGUUAAACACACCUGAUCCAAGUAAUCAGCAGGAGGAUUUUGCUAAAAACCAGCAGGAUGCCGGCUCUGAGGCCUAGACUCUGAGAGCACUUCAUAGGGGGCCCCCCCAGGGGUCCGUCACUUCUGCAGGAACGCCCCAAGUUCCACAGAAAUGUGACAUGAAUGGAAGAUAGAGAUUUUCUCACUCUGGUUUGUGGCUACACCUGUUCAUUCACUCCUGGGGGAAAGUCCAGAGUCCAUAAGGGUGGAGCAGCGCAACAGCGCCCCUGUUUGGUCAGUGUGGGAGAGAAACAGCAAAGCGGAGAAGCAGAGGGAUUUUCUUCAGUGUUUGAGAACAAUUCCAGCGCAAGAAGAUGCUUUCUAAACGUACAAUGACAAACGGCUUGUGUCAUAAACCAUCACAUCCUACUUCUCCUCUCUCAUCUCCUGCAAUGGGCCUGGACGCAGAUUUCCGACAAAAGAGUAAGAUCUCCUGACUGGAGGACGGCUCUGCAGUGCCUGCAGUUGGAGGAGCGUCCAGCAGGGAGCAGUGUGAUCUCAAAUACGGGACACUCACUGCUCAGAGAUGGAGCCAUCAGUGAAGCCUUACCUGGACCUAUGCAGAAGCCAGCAAUGAUCCCAAUAACGCAGCCCACACUGAUGUAGCUCAUGAAGGGAAUCUGCGCCUGCCAACAGGUUUUAAGGUUAUUCACUCCAACAAGACCACAUCAGGAGCAUCAGAGCGUC